rnacentral:tRNA from 1 species
UGGUUUGGUAGUCAAUUAUGAUUUUAAAUUGCAAAUUUAAAGGUAAAUUAUGUUUUCAAGCC